UACGGGGGGUGCAAGCGUUGUCCGGAAUCACUGGGCGUAAAGGGCGCGUAGGUGGUCUUGUAAGUCUGUGGUGAAAGCCCGGGGCUCAACCCCGGGUCUGCCGCGGAUACUGCGAGACUUGAGUACUGUAGAGGCAGGUAGAAUAUCGGGUGUAGCGGUGGAAUGCGUAGAGAUCCGAUAGAAGACCGGUGGCGAAGGCGGCCUGCUGGGCAGUAACUGACGCUGAGGAGCGAAAGCGUGGGGAGCGAACAGG
rnacentral:rRNA from 1 species